AUGCAGAUACCAUGAAAGGCGUUGGUUGCUUAAAACAGGCAGGACGGUGAUCAUGGAAGUCGAAAUCCGCUAAGGAGUGUGUAACAACUCACCUGCCGAAGCAACUAGCCCUUAAAAUGGAUGGCGCUUAAGUUGUAUACCUAUACAUUACCGCUAAAGUAGAUGAUUUUAUUAUUACUUGUGAUAUAAAUUUUGAAACUUUAGUGAGUAGGAAGGUACAAUGGUAUGCGUAGAAGUGUUUGGCGUAAGCCUGCAUGGAGCUGCCAUUGGUACAGAUCUUGGUGGUAGUAGCAAAUAAUCGAAUGAGACCUUGGAGGACUGAAGUGGAGAAGGGUUUCGUGUGAACAGUGGUUGAUCACGAGUUAGUCGGUCCUAAGUUCAAGGCGAAAGCCGAAAAUUUUCAAGUAAAACAAAAAUGCCUAACUAUAUAAACAAAGCGAAUUAUAAUACACUUGAAUAAUUUUGAACGAAAGGGAAUACGGUUCCAAUUCCGUAACCUGUUGAGUAUCCGUUUGUUAUUAAAUAUGGGCCUCGUGCUCAUCCUGGCAACAGGAACGACCAUAAAGAAGCCGUCGAGAGAUAUCGGAAGAGUUUUCUUUUCUGUUUUAUAGCCGUACUACCAUGGAAGUCUUUCGCAGAGAGAUAUGGUAGAUGGGCUAGAAGAGCAUGACAUAUACUGUUGUGUCGAUAUUUUCUCCUCGGACCUUGAAAAUUUAUGGUGGGGACACGCAAACUUCUCAACAGGCCGUACCAAUAUCCGCAGCUGGUCUCCAAGGUGAAGAGUCUCUAGUCGAUAGAAUAAUGUAGGUAAGGGAAGUCGGCAAAUUAGAUCCGUAACUUCGGGAUAAGGAUUGGCUCUGAAGAUUGAGAUAGUCGGGCUUGAUUGGGAAACAAUAACAUGGUUUAUGUGCUCGUUCUGGGUAAAUAGAGUUUCUAGCAUUUAUGUUAGUUACUUGUUCCCCGGAUAGUUUAGUUACGUAGCCAAUUGUGGAACUUUCUUGCUAAAAUUUUUAAGAAUACUAUUUGGGUUAAACCAAUUAGUUCUUAUUAAUUAUAACGAUUAUCAAUUAACAAUCAAUUCAGAACUGGCACGGACUUGGGGAAUCCGACUGUCUAAUUAAAACAAAGCAUUGUGAUGGCCCUAGCGGGUGUUGACACAAUGUGAUUUCUGCCCAGUGCUCUGAAUGUCAAAGUGAAGAAAUUCAAGUAAGCGCGGGUCAACGGCGGGAGUAACUAUGACUCUCUUAAGGUAGCCAAAUGCCUCGUCAUCUAAUUAGUGACGCGCAUGAAUGGAUUAACGAGAUUCCUACUGUCCCUAUCUACUAUCUAGCGAAACCACAGCCAAGGGAACGGGCUUGGAAUAAUUAGCGGGGAAAGAAGACCCUUUUGAGCUUGACUCUAAUCUGGCAGUGUAAGGAGACAUAAGAGGUGUAGAAUAAGUGGGAGAUAUUAGACCUCGGUUUGGUAUCGUCAAUGAAAUACCACUACUCUUAUUGUUUCCUUACUUACUUGAUUAAAUGGAACGUGUAUCAUUUCCUAGCCAUUAUACGGAUAUAUUUAUUAUAUCUUAUGGUAUUGGGUUUUGAUGCAAGCUUCUUGAUCAAAGUAUCACGAGUUUGUUAUAUAAUCGCAAACAAAUUCUUUAAUAAAACGAUGCAUUUAUGUAUUUUUGAUUUGAAAAUUUGGUAUAACUCCAAUUACUCAGGUAUGAUCCAAUUCAAGGACAUUGCCAGGUAGGGAGUUUGACUGGGGCGGUACAUCUCUCAAAUAAUAACGGAGGUGUCCCAAGGCCAGCUCAGUGCGGACAGAAACCACACAUAGAGCAAAAGGGCAAAUGCUGACUUGAUCUCGGUGUUCAGUACACACAGGGACAGCAAAAGCUCGGCCUAUCGAUCCUUUUGGUUUAAAGAGUUUUUAACAAGAGGUGUCAGAAAAGUUACCAUAGGGAUAACUGGCUUGUGGCGGCCAAGCGUUCAUAGCGACGUCGCUUUUUGAUCCUUCGAUGUCGGCUCUUCCUAUCAUUGUGAAGCAAAAUUCACCAAGCGUUGGAUUGUUCACCCAUGCAAGGGAACGUGAGCUGGGUUUAGACCGUCGUGAGACAGGUUAGUUUUACCCUACUAAUGACAAAACGUUGUUGCGACAGCAUUCCUGCGUAGUACGAGAGGAACCGCAGGUACGGACCAAUGGCACAAUACUUGUUCGAGCGAACAGUGGUAUGACGCUACGUCCGUUGGAUUAUGCCUGAACGCCUCUAAGGUCGUAUCCGUGCUGGACUGCAAUGAUAAAUAAGGGGCAAUUUGCAUUGU
rnacentral:rRNA from 1 species